CCCCACCAGCCUUAACGAGAUGAGCGCCGGAAUCACGCAAUGGACCAACUGUAAACUGGAACGGGGAUCCUGGAAAGAGAGAAGAAUUGUAGAUACAGUUCGUCAGAAAGUAGAGUAAGUAAAGACUGACCGUAAAAAAACGAAGAGGAGGAAAAUAUUUUUGUUCUCUGAACUCAUAAAAGAACCCAAACCACAAUAGCUCAUAGAGAUGAACUAGAAUUUUCUUUAAGAAUUGCUUAAACUAUAGCCAUUCUCACCAGGAAUAUGAAUCUCUCUGUACUUCACGGAGACUGUGUGCACUCCGAGCUCCUUGGGUACAAAGUGCACUGAGUAUAAACCAUCUUCCACCUCCUGAAUCUCAGCGUCUUCAGACACACCCCCCGGACU